CGCCUUGCCAGCCCGCUCAGAAACUCAAAGGAAUUGACGGGGGCCCGCACAAGCGGUGGAGCAUGUGGUUUAAUUCGAUGAUACGCGAGGAACCUUACCUGGGCUCAAAUGUAUGUUGACGUAUUCUGAAAGGGAUACUUCUUCGGACAAUAUACAAGGUGCUGCAUGGUUGUCGUCAGCUCGUGCCGUGAGGUGUCGGGUUAAGUCCCAUAACGAGCGCAACCCCUAUCAUUAGUUGCCAUCAGGUUAAGCUGGGGACUCUAAAGGAACUGCCUACGCAAGUAGUGAGGAAGGCGGGGAUGACGUCAAAUCAGCACGGCCCUUACGUCCAGGGCUACACACGUGCUACAAUGGCCGAUACAGAGGGCAGCUACCUGGUGACAGGAUGCAAAUCUCCAAAGUCGGUCUCAGUUCGGAUCGGAGUCUGCAACCCGACUCCGUGAAGUUGGAUUCGCUAGUAAUCGUGAAUCAGAAUGUCACGGUGAAUACGUUCCCGGGCCUU
rnacentral:rRNA from 1 species